rnacentral:SRP_RNA from 1 species
CCGUGCUAGAUGGGGAGGUAGCGGUGCCCUGUAACUCGCAAUCCGCUGUAGCGAGGUUGAAUUCCUGCUUGAGGUCAUGCCGAUGUAGGGUCUGGCAUUUGCGAAUAGUGUUGACAGUCGGGUCCUCCGCAAUGGACGCUUGUGAACCCGGUCAGGUCCGGAAGGAAGCAGCCGUAAGCAAGUUAGUUCAUGUGCCGGGGGAGUGCCUGACUCGAGCUAGGGUGCAAAGAUGCCGCCUGGAUCGCUUGAAUCAAGAGCAGGUGCACGG